rnacentral:rRNA from 1 species
CCUACGGGCUGCACCAGUGGGGAAUAUUGCACAAUGGGCGCAAGCCUGAUGCAGACAUGCCGCGUGUAUGAAGAAGGCCCUAGGGUUGUAAAGUACUUUCAGUCGGGAGGAAGGCGUUGAUGCUAAUAUCAUCAGCGAUUGACGUUACCGACAGAAGAAGCACCGGCUAACUCCGGGCCAGCAGCCGCGGUAGUACGGAGGGUGCAAGCGUUAAUCGGAAUUACUGGGCGUAAAGCGCACGCAGGCGGUUGAUUAAGUUAGAUGUGAAAUCCCCGGGCUUAACCUGGGAAUGGCAUCUAAGACUGGUCAGCUAGAGUCUUGUAGAGGGGGGUAGAAUUCCAUGUGUAGCGGUGAAAUGCGUAGAGAUGUGGAGGAAUACCGGUGGCGAAGGCGGCCCCCUGGACAAAGACUGACGCUCAGGUGCGAAAGCGUGGGAGCAAACAGGAUUAGAUACCCGUGUAGUC